rnacentral:rRNA from 1 species
UACGUAGGGAGCAAGCGUUGUCCGGAAUCAUUGGGCGUAAAGCGCGCGUAGGCGGCCCUGUAAGUCCGUUGUGAAAGUCAAAGGCUCAACCUUUGAAAGCCGAUGGAUACUGCAGGGCUAGAGUACGGAAGAGGCGAGUGGAAUUCCUGGUGUAGCGGUGGAAUGCGCAGAUAUCAGGAGGAACACCAAUAGCGAAGGCAGCUCGCUGGGACGUUACUGACGCUAAGGCGCGAAAGCGUGGGGAGCGAACAGG